GGCGACGGCGACGGCCCCGGCCCCGGCGCCGGUUGGGCCUCCCUUAAGGGAGGUGUGGUGGCCGCUCCCGUGUUUUCAGCCACCUUGGAAUAGUCUCUAAUCACGGGGCCUGCUGGAGCGUCCCGAGGCUCGCAGCUUUCUUGAGGACAGACUGAAGAAGGAGGCUUUCAGAUCUCUGCAGGAUGUCAUCCAGGGGACUUCUUCCCAUGUUCUCACUUCCCUCUGGAAGGGGCUGCCCCUCGUUGAGGCAAACACCAUACAAGGCUACUGGUUUUUAAGUGUCCUGUAGCACAGCAACAGUGAAGAUCAGAAUCCUGUUAUGAUGAACUUCAAGACUGAAAACCACAUCCAGCCAGUAGAUCUUACAGUCAGCAUUUAUCCUGGAGUGCUUCCUGUACAGUGGGCUCCUUGUAAGAACAUUCAAUUUUGUUCUCACAAAGGUUCUUACCAGUAAAUUGAGCUGGGGGAGUAUACAUGGGCUUUGUACGUCCCUUCUGAAGCCUGAGAGCACCGAAUCUCUCAGAGACACAACUGAGUACGCUGUGUUCUCCUGCCUGAAUCCAUUUUGUCUCCUCCACAGACUUCAUUUUCUGCAUGCAUCAGAAAGAUGGCAAACCUGGCAAGUUUUAUCUACAUUGAAAAAUGGAAACAUGUUUUUUCUCUCCGAGUGUAUGAGAACUGGGAGUUUAGUACUCAUUGUCGCAAAGACAGAAAUUCAUUAUGCCACCAAAUCACUCCUCCCAAGCUGUCUGUCUGACUAUUGAUCCCUUGUUCCUGAGUAAGUAAACCCUGUGGUUGAUCAUAAUUAUUCUGGGACAUCUCAUUCCAGUGACUGGAUCAAUAAUGUCUUUCAUGGCCUCCUGCUGUGUGUUCCUGUCAUGCCUUGGCACCUCUGCAUUACCUGCUGUUCAUCAGUAGCCCAAUGAAAUAAUUUGCCAUGGUGGUGAGAAUGCUGUCAGCCACUUCACACUCAUUUAGCUCUCAGCCAGGACACGACAUGAAGCCUUGGAUGUACAGCAUUUGUAAUGAAUGUCAGUAUUAACUUCACACUGUCCCACACAUUGAGGCUGGAAGAUUUCCCCUUGAUGUCACAUUAAGUCAGGCAUAACACCCAUAGGAUGCUUGUCAUGAAGCUGCCUUUGAGCAGAAACAGGGAUAAAUAUCCAAGCUUCCCUUUUCAUCCAGAGACUCAGAGUUAACCUGUCAGGGAGCAGUGAGGCCAGGGGCUCACUGAGGGAUGGAGAACCAGGAGGUUAGCAGCCGCAAGGCCAGCAGAGCAGCAGCCUCACUGACCAAGGCUCACGCUGCAGUACCCGAGUGCAGCAAGCAGGGCAGGCCUGUGGAUGGCAGCCAGGGUGAACUAGAACAUCAGGGCAGUUUGUGGUGAUAAGGUCAAGCCAGAAAGUCAAUUUGCAGGUCAGGGUCAGGGAGAGGAUCAGGUCCAGUGACGGUAACCAGGGUUAGACACAGUCCAGAGACUGCCAGGCAGGUCCAUGGUGACAAGGCAGGUUUGAGGUGAAGCUAAGUCAAUCCAUGGUCAAGAUCGAGAUCAAUGGGACACAGUUAUGAAAGAGCGAGAAACUGGUACACUUUCAGCAUAGCUCAGGUAGGGACUGAAGGCCCAAGCAUGAGCCAAAAUGGGGCUCCUGGGCCUGUGGGCAGAGAUGUGGGUGGAAGCUGCAGGGGAGGCUGUUCAGGGCCAUUAAGGCAUAUUAGUCCACUCAGGACCCUGACAAAACCUUUCAGUUAUAUUCAGAGCAAUCAGUUUUGCAGCCUAUCCUUCUGCUGAAUUUUCUUGAUCUUUUCCACUGCCAUUGCUGCAGGAUAUGUUUUGCAGAAGAGCUUUGUCCCUCAGUGUUCCCAGCUGCACAGGGAUGAUGGAAGAAUCUGCAUGCCCAGCCUCGUGGUGUGCCAGGGAGCUUCAGGUGUCCUUCCUGCUUCAGCUGUUUCUGUCCUCUGAGAACAGCCCUGAAUCCAAAUCUGAGAGCAGACCCUGAUGCAAAUCCAAGAGUCCCUCUGCCACCAGCUAGUCUCCCAAGUCUUCCUCCAUUUUCCUGAUCUGGCUGUAGUACCAGGCUAACCCAGCAGCUUGGGCCCUGGGGUUCUAUGCCUCCCUUUUGUCCCGCUUACUUUCUUCUUGCUCUUCUUUCUUCCUUCCUAUAGCUAUUCAUUCUGCUUUUGUCUCAUCUUUUCUUUGGCCUGACUCUAAUGUCUUCCCUCACUGUAGGUUAAAAUCUUUCUUCAAUUAUUUGUGACUAAUGUUUCUCUCUUGAGCGUCAGGGCCCUGCAGGCACUAAUAGGCCUUAAUGGCCCUGGACAGCCUGAGCUGGGCCCUUCACCCAAACCCCCUGCCUAUGGGCACAGGGGCUCCAUUUAUGCAGGCCUCGUGUACUGGCCUUCAGUUCAGUUACACCUGUGUUCAUAGCCCUCAUUAGCCGUAGACCUCCUUGAUCCAGACACUGAUCUGACUGGCUUCUGAGCCUGCCGUGGCCCUGCCUGGCAAUCACUGGACCUGGCCUUGACUUGUGGAUAGACUUCCUAGCUUGACUUUGGGCCUGCCUUGUCACUAAAAAUUUCUCUGGUGACCUGGACUCUUGGUAGGUCCUGGCCACAACCUCUGAGCCUCUCCUGUUCAUCUUCCUCAGUUGUUGUGGUUUAGCCCCAGCCGGCAGCUCAGCCCCACGCAGCCACUCGCUCACUCCCCCCCGGUGGGAUGGGGGAGAGAAUCAGAAGAGUGAAAGUGAGAAAACUCAGCAGUUAAGAUAAAGACAGUUUAAUAGGUAAAGCAAAAGCCGUGCAUACAAGCAAAACAAAACAAGGAAUUCAUUCCCACUUCCCAUGGGCAGGCAGGUGUUCAGCCAUCCCAGGACAGCAGGGCUCCAUCACACAUAACUGUGACUUGGGAAGACAAACACCAUCACUCCAAACACCACCCCCAUCCUUCCUCUUCCCCAAGCCCCUUAUAUGCUGAGCAUGACGCCAUAUGGUAUGGAAUAUCCCUUUGGUCAAUUGGGAUCACCUGUCCUGGCUGUGUCCCCUCCAACUUCUUGUACACCCCCAGCUACUCACUGGUGGGGGGUGUGAGGAGCAGAAAAGACCUUGACACUAUCUAAGCACUGCUCAGCAGUAACUAAAACAUCUCUAUAUUAUCAACACUGUUUUCAGCACAAAUCCAAAACACAGCCACAUACUAGCUACUGUGAAGAUAAUUAACUCUAUCUCAGCUGAAACCAGGACACUCAGGUACCGUGGGGUGGGCCCUGGCCUUUGGAGGCCUCUGCCCUGCCAAGGAGUGUUUGUCUCCUGGCUCUCCAUCCUUUAGUGAGCAGUCAGCCCUUGCUGUUCCCUGACAGUGAUUUUGUAAAGCUUUUACUCUUUUUACCCUUUUCCUGCCUUCUCCUAUUAUAGAACAUGCUGCUUAGGGAUGGGAAGAGAUCUGAGCAGGAAGACAACUUUAAAGCUGCAGUUGCAAAACAGAGUGGUACUCUGUCACCAGUUUACCCAGAGAGUUAGACAUGUGCUAAUCUUAAAUUAGUUCUGAACCUUUCUGAUAGAUGAGGCCAGUUGCAAGUUUUUUAUGCACAAACCUUGGUAAUUCAAAAAUUGUCAAACAAGUGUGUAGGUUUUCUUUGGGGCUUCUUAGGUUUCUCAGGGAUGUGGUUUCUUCUUUUUAUUUUUAUACUACUUUGGUGAUACAAAUCCCAUCUCUCGUUUAGAUGUGGUUAUAGAGAAACCAACUGUAUUUAUUUGCUAUAAAUUUCUUCUAAAUCUAGUAUAACUAUAUCCCCAUGAAAGUUUACAUUAGAUAACUGGUGAUGGCUCUCACCAGCUUCAAUGUUUUUAGCACGCUUGCACACCUGGAGAUUAAGAAAUAUUUGUAUCUGUCCUAGAAGUGUAAAUGCGGAAGUCUGUAAUGGUAGUGCAGAGAAAAGUUUUAUAGAAAGUAUAAUAAAUAAAAUUAAAAAAUGCAUCCUACUCCAUACUCUCUUAGUCAUCAUCACUUGAAAGAAAAGCUGUGUUCUUAAAUCAUAGCUUGGAGCCUGAAAGAAAUUGGCCACAAUAAGAUUUUAUUCUGAGGGAAGGAUGUCUGGUAGAACAGCACUUUGAUCAUAUGUGCUCUAAACUUGGUGCAUCCCUAGAUGCUGUAAACUGAGCGAGGUUGAAAAUGGGGUGGACAGGUUUUAAAAAGAGGAUUCUGAGCACUUCUUUAUUUAGCCUAGAAAUGGAACUAUCACAGCCCUUUUUUAUGCUCUUGGAACAACUGCUGGUGUUUCACUAAAGCCUUUAUAUGAGGAUCUUGUCUUUUGCAAAAGCAAAUUUUGUUAUUGCUACUUGGAAACACAGAAAACUGAGUUACAGCAAGGUACCGUGACCUGAUUCAUGCCUAUCUGUAGAAUGUAAUUUUAAUUCUGGAUUAAAAUAUCCUAAAUUCAGAUGUUUGCCUAUGAACCGUAUAACCUGAAUUCAUCACAAAAUCCAGCAUCAGCUGCUUACCUCAGACUAUCAGUUCACUGAUACUCUACACUUCAGGGCACACAGUGUGCAUAAUGCUGUUCUCAAGCCAGUCUCAUUCCCUUGUUCUAUCUCAUACACAGUUAAAAUGGAAGACGGGGCGGGGGGGAAAGGCAGAAAACGAGGACUUCCUGCGUUCUUGCAUUUCUGUUUUUCCCAGCCUGAUUUGUGCUUCUAGGCAGAUUGUGAAUAUUCAGCUCACACAGUACAGCCAAAGCAGAGCCUACACCCAGCAGUCUCUUGAAAACGAAGACAGAAUAUGCUCUAUACAAGUCUGUACUUCACAGUCUGUUCCCUGAACCAGCUCAUGUGGCCUGAAUAACUGAAAGGCCUGCAGUUUCCACAUUUCAGCUGUAUCCCAGUGGUAGCUGCAUUUUAGUGGAUAAAAAGUGCUUAGGUAUUUCAGCUGAAGUUUGCAAAGACCUUUGUGGGGAAAAGCGAUGCAGAAAUGUAUUUGUGAAUUAAUAAUAGUCAGGUUUGUUUAUUGAUUUCUGGCUGACCUGAAUCUCUCUGUAUUUCCUGAAUCCAUCUUAGCACUAAAUUGGUUUCAAUAA